AUGGCGUAACCGAAAAGCCAAAGAGUAGGAA
rfam:Flavobacterium plurextorum strain CCTG 60112 WGS0045_contig_31, whole genome shotgun sequence.